ensembl:lncRNA
GCACCUGGUUUAUGGUCUGACCUAGCGCUGCCCAAGUCAGCUGGGAUUACUUCCAUCAACUUGGAUCUAAUCUUUAGAAAGGCAGCCUAGCUGUGUCAGGAGCAGAACCACAACAUGCACCUGGAAAAUAUUAAAGAACUAAUAAAUUGCAGUUAAAGAUCUGUAAAUCAAGAUUGAAUAGGCUGAGUGGUUAGCCCUGGAAGGACAAAAAAAAGCACUACCACAAAACUCCAGGCUAAGAAAAAACGUGCUUGGUUGGAAUGAGCUUCCUAAUAGAUCUGUGCAACUAUGAAACUCCUUCCUGCACCCGAUCUUCCACGUUCAACAAAAUUACCUGAAAUGGGGUGUUUCCAUUUAACAGUUAACACAUACCAAAGGAAAUGCACUAACUUAAGGAAAACCAGACUAGGCAGAAGAAAUAUGCAUGUAAGACACUCUCAGCCCACUGGAGCACAAGGGAACUUCAGCACUCUGUACCCUGAGCAAAUCAUAUCAAUCAGAAUCAUCAGUGUUUGAAUACAGCAGUAACAAGCUACUGGUAUCAGCAGCUGAUCUACACUCACGAAGAGAACUUGCAAAGUGUACUAUCAGCAGUGGCAGGACUUACCCUUUAUUUCUGUGUUGCAACAAAACUCAAGAGCAUGAGCAUCUCCAGACUCCCAGGGUAGAUACCAUCUUCCCAUUUCUUUUUUUGAUCCUCAUAAUUCUACAUCAACACUUCAAAUCCCCUCUGUGAUUAUUUAUCCUGCUGUUCCUUUUCAGAUUAAGUAACUGGAUGUAGAACUGUCCUCCAAAUAGAAACACCACGUUCUGCAGAAUUUUCAGUCUCCACAAUAAGCCUCUAAAGGAGAUGAUCUUGCAAAAAAGAUGACAACAAAACCAACUAGUGUGCAGAAAUAGAAUGGCUGGAGAAGCUGUAGAACUGAAAAUAUUGAGAAUUAAAUUGAAGCAGCUGUAUAUAUUCCCUGUCCAAGCUCAUUGCUCCAUCAUGUAACUGUAUCUUGUUAAUCUGCUGAAGGAUCACAUCAGACAUAUCCUAAGACACUUUUUUUCCAGUGCAAAUGUUUCUCUUGUUAAAUAUUUGCUGGUCCAGGAAGAGGAGGAUAACCAAAGCCUGUCCAAGUACAGGAAGACCAUACACAAACUAGAUGACAGAUAAAAGGGGAGGGAUGGCCAAAUCAGCUCCCCAGGAAUUCUCAGCAAGCAAAGGGCUCGCUUCUGGGGAGAUACCCAAGUGCCAUAAUCCUCUUCCUCCAUGUCAGUGGCUCAGAAACAGGCAGUGAAGUUGGAGCUCAUGUUUGAAGCCACCUGCCACGAAUUCAUUAGAGCAGAAAAGGGUGUGGAACCAAGAUGAGGAAAACAGGUGUGUUCUCAACAUAGGUACUCCACAAACCUGUUAUGCAUGGAGAUAAAUUCUGAAAUAGCAAAUGGUUGGUACAGGGAUGUUUUCAAUAAUGGUAAAACAGAAAGAGCUAAUGGGCAGCAUCCUACUGCUUCCAAAAGGGAUGACCAGUAAGAGAAUGUUCUCAAGGGCACCAGAAGUGGACAGGAAGAAUCUCUCUUAAGGAAAAGCCUAUCUCAUAUGGGGGGCGUGGUACAUAGCAAAAUUGCACUAGCAGGCUUGAGAUCAUCACAACAUGCAGAUGUAAGAACUAUCUGUAUAUCUGAGAAACUGAAAAUACAGUUCCCAAGUAUACCUUGAAUGACAGAAGGCACCAUCAGUACUUGGGAAAUACCUGCACUAUCAGGUUUGGGACUUUAAGAUAGAAGGUGGGAUCUGGCCUAUCUCUUGCAAAUAAUUGAGAUUGUUCGCAGUGUGACAGCAAAACAGUGUACCAGGAUGCUGCUCAAACCUGAUGCCAUAAGGUGCUGCAACAGGAUGAUGGAGAAGCACAGAAGCAGCAAACUGACAGCCUGGGAGGUGGGCACAGCUCCUGUGGCAGCACAGCACAGGCUGCAGGGCAUGAGAUUUUGCUGGUUGUGGAAGAUAUGUUCAGGAAAUAGCAGGGCUGGCUCCUAGUGAAUGUCUCGAAUGAGAGUGUUUAAAACACCUGUGUACAGCUUCAAAGUAAAUCUAAAAAGAAAAAGCAAUAAAUACUGCCACUAUUUCUUUUCUAGUGGAGAAGAUUUUCUGCAGGAGCUAGAGUAAAACACUACCAUCAUCCAAACACCACCACCUUGCUGUUAUUCACCAAGUCCUGCUUGGACAACUGGAACAAAUGCAUUCAAGCAUACAAUCUCUGGAAAGCAGGCUAACAGCAGGGCAGGCACUGCUGAGCAUUGCACACUUGGACACGUAGCUCUAAAGGUGGGCACUUGGAGCCCCAGCCCUACCAGCUUGAGCAUGGAGGCUCCCACCACAGAUCUUCUCUGACAGGAAGGAAAAAGCAAUCAGCAUCGAGCUUAUCAUUAUCUAGACAGCCAGCAUGCAAGACGACCGCUCAGUAAGUCUGAUCAAUAUGCAGUCUGCCUUCCUUCUUAUUUUCUAUUACAACAGUUGCACAAAUUAUAUGACAUUCUAACAGUUGUCACACAUAACACCGUAUUAAGAUGCAAAAAAAACCCCCAAAAAAACAAAAACAACAACAAAAAACCAGGACAAUUGGAUACAUUGACUUUUCAAGCUUAAAAUUCCUGAAUUUGCAGUUAUUUCAAUCGGUGACUUCGUCUGUCCUUAAGGCAAGCACUCCUCAUAAUUCAAGAGUAUUUCUGAUGAAAAUCAAUCUUGAUAAAUUGUGAUCUAAAUGGCAGUUCUAGAAACGCAGAGGAUGCAAUUAGGAAAAGAUGACCUUUCUUGUGUCCCCCUUUUAAGCAUCAGAUAGGAUAUCAUGCUCAGUGUCAGGAAUUGCAAAGUUUUCAAAUCCUGGGGUGAAUAACACACAUCUAGAAGGCCUCUCAAACUAAACACUAUUAUCUGCAAAUACCCGUUUGUUACAUAGCAACCCACUUUUUGAGUAGCUGUUACCAGCUGUAUGCCCUUGCUGUUAAUAAAAGAAUGAAAACGAUGUCCCAGCUCUUUUUUUCCCCCUGAUAUAUCUUAAGGUCAUAUUGACCUAAACUACUUCCAUUAAAAUCAGUUUGAUUUGGCUUGCGAGGCCUUAAUCUCAAAACCAUUGGCAUCCUUUCUGGAUUACCACACUUUAAUUGCAUCAGCAAUGCCACAGGAACAAAGGUGGAACAUUCUCUGGAAAGCUAUGCUGAAGAUGAGGCCUUAGCCUUUAAUGCUUAAAGGCUCUGCAGAGUUCCUCAUUUAGAUACUUUCACCCCAUCUGGUGAAAAUCAUUUUGAAAACAUAAAGCCAUGCUUAAACGCAAUUUCAUUCCCGUUAUGUAAUGUUACUUGGCCUAGUUGAGCAUCUUUAAUCUGUGCAGCUGAACUAGUUUUAUCGUUAAGCCAAUAAGGGCUGCAACGAUUAUGUAUCUCAGGGCUACAGAAGCACAGUAACACUGGUUUAGGAGCCCAUUAAGCAAAGCCCCGUUCCCGAACACAAGAUCUUAUAUUGUACCUCACCCGCUGUGAGAAGUAUUUGUCUGAUCUAUUCUUAAAACCUCUAAGAAGAGCCCACAUCUUGCCUAGUCAGUCCAACGCUGUGCCUGACUAGUUCAGAAGAAUCACUGAACAUUUUUUCCACUGUAACCCAGAUCAGCCUUGCUGUUAUUUUAGCUUAUGGCUCCUCACCCUACCCCCAGUGGACAUGAGAGAACAAAUUGUCCCUUUCCUCACGGCACCAUCCUUUUAUCUAUUUGAAGACUUACCAUGUCUGUGGCUGUCUGUUCUCUCUGGCUCUGUAAGAGCCAUGUGUUCAAAGACCUCGAUCAUUAUUUUUACUUUUUUUUCUCCAAAUCACACAAAAUUCCCUCACGUGGAGCCCAGUACUGGACAUACUGUCUUAGCACAGCUCAGCAUAGCAGGGUGCCUGUGCCUUAUUAGCAGUUUUCUUACUUACACAGACCUGUGUGGCAUUCUCUCCAACAACAAGACACUGAUACUCAUUCAGCUUACAGCCCACAGCAGCCCCUCCAUCCUUUCCUGCAGCACAGUCAGCUGCUUUUCCUAAGAUCAAUACAAUCAACUCCACAACUAUGAAGUAUACAGUACCACACCUCUUACUUUUUUUCCCUAGAGUUCCUCUUUUUGCAUUCUAGUUCUCUGACAGUGCAUUAAUACAAGCUCAAACUUGACCUCAUCUCCAAACGCAGUAAUUACAGGGCCUGUUUCAUUGUGGAUGAGUAAUGGACUGAAGGUAGUUCCCCAGACAAGUGCUGAUACCAAGUACAUUUUUCCUCAACUAGUUCUGCAGCCCUGUUAAAGCAGUAUCACGUAGACUGGUUUUCCAGCUUAUUAUUAGAAAACCCUGCAAGCCAACAUUAGAAGUUCUACUAAAAAAUGAAGGUAUGUGACACACAUUGCCUUACCCUCACCUGCAAGCUGCUGCACUGCCAGAGAUGGAGAUGAGAUUGGCUCAAUUCGUUCACAACAAAGCCAUGCUGGGCACAGCUCACCUCGCACCUAGCUUACAAACUAAUUUCCCUCAGCCCAGAAAUUAAACUCACAACGAGGAGCAGCAGGGCCAUACCUCAGAGCUGCUCACCUCCCCACACUCCCCGAGUUGCCUAACUUUGCUUAUUUCAGGUGACAAGGCCUCGCUGCCAGUAGGGUUUAUAAGGUAGGUGUAACGGGAGCCAAAGCACGAGAUCCCAGUGAACACCUCACAGGGAUGAGGAGCAGGGCACGGCUCCCCGCGCACCGGGCAGCAUGAGGGAAGGGCACAGCGCUCAGCGCUGCUCAGCAGGGCCCUUCCGCCCAGCCAACAGGCAGUGCCUGCCUCACAGCUCCCAGCUGAGCGCCUCCCAAAGCCAGCACGGCUCUGCCUCGCUCAGGACGCUCAGCAGCAGCCCCAGUAACCUCUCAGGCGGAGACCCCCACCUCCUGCCCCUGAGGCACACCGAGCCCCAUCGCUCCCCCUCGCACAGCUACGAGCUCCCCCACAGACAACGCUCCUCCGUAUUUACCUCACCCAGCACCACGUGGGUGCGCCAACCCCUCCCUGCGCAUGCGCCUCCCGCCCAACCGCCGCCUUUGUGUGAGGCGCGGGCACACCCCACAUUCCUCCC